CAGCCGCCGCGGGAAAACGGAGGGUGCAAGCGUUAAUCGGAAUUACUGGGCGUAAAGCGCACGCAGGCGGUCUGACAAGUCAGAUGUGAAAUCCCCGGGCUUAACCUGGGAACUGCAUUUGAAACUGUCAGGCUGGAGUCUUGUAGAGGGGGGUGGAAUUCCAGGUGUAGCGGUGAAAUGCGUAGAGAUCUGGAGGAAUACCGGUGGCGAAGGCGGCCCCCUGGACAAAGACUGACGCUCAGGUGCGAAAGCGUGGGGAGCAAACAGGAUUAGAUACCCGAGUAGUCCCUGUCUCUUAUAA
rnacentral:rRNA from 1 species